UUUUCUUUUCUUUUUGACUCAUCGUCGAUCAUCUUCUUCACAAGCCGCCGCCGUUCACGUGAAGUUCACCACCGGUGAAGCCAAUCGUCGCACAGUUGCCCCAUUACGUGAUCUUCUCCUUGGCUUGGUUGUGUCGUAGUCAUUGUUCGACCGAGGACAUCAAACUAGAAUCAGAAUUACCGUGUUUCUCGAGUUGAUUUAGCUGAUUCGGUUCGACCUACUGUUUGAAGUGACCAUGGAAUCUUUGCUUGUUAUUUUGUCGAGGUAUGUCUCUGACCAGUAUUAAAUAUAUUUUUGUGAUUAUUUGGUUGAUGAUAU